GCUGAUUGUAUUAAUUAAUUAGAAAGGUAUAAUUGCCUUGUGGAUCUACUGGGUCUUGGAAGCAUUCAUUGAAUUCUGGUAUCCAUGUUGCUCUCAUGAUCUCAUGGCCUCAAGUACAAUACUGGCAGAAAGAAAUACUUCAACAAGCAUGUAGUCCUUAAUGUGAUGAAUAUGCUGGAUUGAUAAACUGCUUCUACUAGCAUGGAAGCCUCCAGAUUCCACUGGGUAGAACAUGAUCCUCCCCUUGGUGAGAAUAGCUGUACCAGCUGAGUGAUUAGUGCAGCUCCUGACAUAACCAGGCGUGAGGUUACCAGCGCAUGUACUGCAGUCUCAAGGUCGCUGAUAACAGGCACUCCUGACCGUCACAUUCACCUGAUUUGUCAUGUGAAGCAAUGGAUCUAGGAGCACACACAGACUGCGAGCACAGUCCUUUGAGGAGAAUGUGACCCCUUCCAAGACUGGAGGUUGUAUCCCAAUAUCUGAGUUUGGAGCCGACACUGUAAAUACCUCCGUUUUGUCUGGAUUCAGCUUCAAUUUGUUUUCCCUCAUCCAAUGGAACAUUGAAGCCUCAGAAAAUGGUGGUUUUCGAACAUACCAAAGUGUUGCAGAGGAAUUAUUCUGUGUAGAAAAAUAUGCCCACAAUUUUUUUUCUGCACAGAAAACUGGUUUCCUGAGCUAACAUCCUUUUUUCCCCUUGUGUGAAGAGCACAUUGCUUUUGGCACAGGAAACCUUUUUCUGCAUUAAAAAAAAGGGGGGGGGUGUUUUUUUUUCCUUUUUUUCAGUAAAGCAUGUGUUUCCUGUGCAGAAUAAUCCCUUCACAACACCUUGGGACACUCAAAAUACAUAAAGAAUACUGUGGAGGAAUGUUUGUUUCUCUCACAGUGUGGAGAAAACUACUGUAAUUAUUCAUCUCUACAUCCAAGGAUGAAAUAGUCAAGAUUUCACAUCCCUUACAUGCACUUGGGCCUAUUGUAACAAUUGUAGGAAGGCACAGAGCGAAAGGCUAGUGUUACAACAUGCGUUCCAUCUUGUUGCUAAGCCCUGGCAGCAAUGGCAGAGGGUGAUUUACCCCAGAAAACUCUCCAAGGGUUAAAGUAAACGUUCUGAAAGCAUCAACUACCAUGUUUAUUAUAGAUAAGGCCAUACAGGAUGCAAGUCCUAAUGAGAAUGGCAACUGCUGGGCACAUCUGCCACAGCUCAGCCACCACAAUAUGCUUUGGGAGUUCCCCCUGAACCUGGAUGCUAUAUUAUCAGAUUAUCUGAGUUUUAGGUCCAUCUAUCCAGUCUGUUCUCAUGUCCAUUUCCACAAUUGCCAGACUGAGAAACGUUUUUUGACUGCCACCAAACCUUUGCUUGCUCUACCUCAGCAGCAUCAUAACAACCUAUGCCUAAUCUGAAGUUUAGGCCUUUAAAUCUCAUGAAAUGGGAUAUUGGUGUCCUGAUAAUCCUGUUUAUUUGUACAAUGAUAAAAAAGAAACCUAUUUCCAUUCUGCUCUUAUAGUGGUGGCAUCAUUUUCAAAAGAGUUGUUCAUGUUAGUCUGUGGGGAAAAACAGAAGAUUCAAGGGGCACCUUAAAAGUUAACAAAUGUACUAUUGAUGUUAAUACAUCAGACAUUAAUAGUAUUAUUACUUGUUAUGAGUUUGAACUACUUUAAGAGAAGCCUGGUAGUACUAGAUGAAAUCUGGUGUUUCAUGAGCAAGUUUCCUUUCGUAUAACAGUAUUUUCUCAACUUGUCCUACACGCUGUAGCUCCUCUUGCUACCACCCCCCUCCCCAUUUGUUCAGAGGGUCCCCCAAUUCUCUAGAAUGGUCCUUGGAAGAAAGGAUAAUUUCUGCUGUUCAUUGGCAGGAAGAAUUCAUUGGAUACCCCCCUUUUGAUUUAGAAGUAAGUAAAAUAAUGUAUUUGUCAUUUUGCAGUCCCUUCAAGUUUAUGGUUAGUUAGCAGAACAUCACUGUCCCACCAUCCAUACAAGCUGAAGCAUUUUCUCCUGGAAAUGGAAUUGGCAUUCCAGUUCAGCAACAUCUGCAGCCAGCCCUCAAAAGCCCUUUUGCCAAAGAGUGUUAUGUACCUCUCUUUACUACUGCAUCUGAUUCAUUUUGUUGUUCUCUGCCAUACACUGCUUGAUUUGGCUAAGUAUGAGCACUGAGGAUAAUGAAAUAUGUACAACAAACUGCUAUUUCUGUUGGCACACACUAAUGGGAAUGUUAUGUCCUUUUUUUAUGGGAAAUGAAGACCUGCUUGAGACUGCAUCACAAUGAGACUAAAUGAAGUGUAGACUACAAGCAGGAACACAGGAAAUUACCCUAUGCUUCACAUAAAUGUUUUGAAACUACACAUA